UACGGGGGGAGCAAGCGUUGUUCGGAUUUACUGGGCGUAAAGGGCGCGUAGGCGGCCACUGCAAGUCAGUUGUGAAAUCUCCGGGCUUAACCCGGAAAGGUCAACUGAUACUGCAGGGCUAGAGUGCAGAAGGGGCAACUGGAAUUCUCGGUGUAGCGGUGAAAUGCGUAGAUAUCGAGAGGAACACCUGCGGCGAAAGCGGCGCGCUGGACCACUACUGACGCUGAGGAACGAAAGCUAGGGGAGCAAACAGG
rnacentral:rRNA from 1 species